AAAGGUAGCGUAAUCACUUGUCUUCUAAAUAAAGACUCGUAUGAACGGCUAAAUGAGGACAAGCCUGUCUCUUACAACCAAUCAGUUAAACUGAUCUUCCAGUUAAAAAGCUGGAAUAACCACAUAAGACGAGAAGACCCUGUGGAGCUUUAAACUUCCCACUAGCAAGCAAACACCCUGCCUAUAGUACACAGUUUUAAGUUGGGGCGACUUUGGAACAAAACAAAACUUCCAAGCACAGAGCCACACGCUCUAACCACGGCCAACAAGCCAAAGUUAUAAAUACAGACCCAGUAACACUGAUCAACGAACCAAGUUACCCCAGGGAUAACAGCGCCAUCUUCUUCAAGAGUCCAUAUCGACAAGAAGGUUUACGACCUCGAUGUUGGAUCAGGACACCCAAAUGGUGCAGCCGCUAUUAAAGGUUC
rnacentral:rRNA from 1 species